UACGUAGGGUGCAAGCGUUAAUCGGAAUUACUGGGCGUAAAGCGUGCGCAGGCGGUUGUGUAAAACAGAUGUGAAAUCCCCGGGCUCAACCUGGGAACUGCAUUUGUGACUGCACAGCUGGAGUGCGGCAGAGGGGGAUGGAAUUCCGCGUGUAGCAGUGAAAUGCGUAGAUAUCUGGAGGAACACCGGUGGCGAAGGCGGCAUCCUGGACCGACACUGACGCUGAGGAGCGAAAGCCAGGGGAGCAAACGGG
rnacentral:rRNA from 1 species